GUGUGAGAUAUAUUUUCCCUGAUUUGUGUACCAGGCGCACACAGCUAUGCAAUAAAUCAAUAAAAUGUUAUUUCAUGGCAAAAAUAUAUACCGCAUCAGUUUCAUAUCGUAAGAUCAUUAGUCAUAUCUAAAUUUAUCAAUUAAUAAAUGUAUAUAAGUUACAUAUAUGUCUAAUACAUUAUUAUCCACGUAAAUCUAGAUAUAAAAUCUUAUAUCGUGAAAUGGAGGGAGUACCCACAAUGGUGCAGGCAUGAGAUUAGUCGAACAAAAUGAAAGUUAUGUACCCUUGGCUUUAAGGCCCGCCUUUUCUGAUUAGGGAGCACAAUGGCGGUGUGCGGAUUCAAUCAGAGAGGUGGGACCCACUACAUGUGCUGAUUUUUUUAUUCCGGUUCAACACUUUGAACUCCAAAUUAAAAAUUUUGGUCACAGAUUAGAAAUUUUCGACCUCAGAUUCGAAACUUUCAACUCAAAUUGACAUGUCCGAAGUUUCAACUCAAUUUUGAGAAUACUCAAAAUUAUAAUGUCAACUGCAAUGGUAUGAAACUUUUAACUUAACUUUUAAUACAUUUAACUGAUUCUAUAAUUUAUUAUCUUGUAAUAAACAUUAAAUAGUAAUAAUAGUUUUUUAGUGCUAUCGAUAUCCGCAUCGUGCACUUGAGUUGGCUUACUUGCAUGUGCUUAUUAGGGCAUGUUCAAAGAUGUUCAAAGAUAGAGUCCAUCAUCGACUCUCACAUAACCCAAGUCAGCAAAAAAAAAUCUAUUUUAUAAUGAUACGUACAAAGAAAGAAUCAGGUAUGGUUUCUUUAUUAAUGCAAUAAAAUAUUUUUUAUUAUACUAGUUUUCUUUUUAUCCGACCUCAUGUAACAAAGUUUUUUUUAAUAAAUGCUAAGAGUCGACUUUAAGCCGUUGUUAGCAUGGCAACAGUUUUUCUCUCUCCUUCACUUCCUUUCCUCCACGUCACCAAAAUUGCUUACAUGACGAUCGAAAGAGUCAGCUAGGUCUGUUAACUGAGAGAUUUGCAAAAGUGGGCCUCCAAACAUGUGGUGUUUUUUAAAUUUGACACUCGGAGUGUAUGACAUGUGGAUCCAUAUGUGUCUAUAAAAUAUGGACCCAGUGGCAAAUAUGCGAAACACCACGAUUAAAGGUCUAUUACUUUAUAUAAAAUAUAUGUUUCCAAUUAUAAACACUUUAUAUAUAUUACUUUAUAUAAAGAGAAAUAUGGAAUUUUUUAAUCAUAAAGUUUAUACAAAUAUGCAAUGUAUAUCUUUAGAACUAAAGUUCAAUCAUAAUUUUGUAAGUGCACCGUGAUAACACUGAUAAUGAUACCAAGAAAAUAGAGUUUGUGUUCAACUCCAUGCAACAAUGCGCUAAAUAUAAUAUCGAUAAAGACUCUAGACCACACUAUAGUUGCACACCUAAAUAGUUAAAUCAUUAAAAAUAAUAUCAGAGUUAAAUCUCUAGUAAAAAAGAGUAUCUGGUGUGGAAGAAAUAUUUUGUUAGCGUCAUGUUUUAAUUUGAAAUAAAUAAAUAUCUUGAUCUGUCAAAUAAUGCACCACUAUAGAACAUUUUUUUAAAUCAUUGAAAGAUACGUGGACCUCCUGAUAAUAACAAAUUAGAAACACAAGUAAUGAAAAAUAAAGUAGGUAUCAUACGAUCUCUUAAUGUUUGAUUUAAAUCUCUCUUUAUGUAACAUAAAAAGACAUGAUGAAUUUUUUUAAAAUCUCAUAAUAAAUUUAGACUAUGAAUCGGGUUUUUUGAGAGUUGUAUAGUUCUGUUGUUCGCAUGAUUUGUAUAGACAUCCACAAAGUUUCAUUUAUUAUAAGGAGAUGGAAAAUGGCAUGUGAUAUUUCCCAUGUUUCUUUAAAACUGAUUUUGUUAAUUUUAGAUUUAUAGAGUUUAAAUUUUAUGUUAGUAUUAGAUAAUAUGAAUAAAUUAUUUAGUUAAAACUGUCCUGGCAAUGUAUAUGCUUGGUAUUAUACUGAUUGUGAAAUUAGCGUCAAUUUGUUGUUGUAAUGUUUUUUAAAUCUGCAAUUACAGUCCAAACAUGAAAACUUGUAAUCUAUAAUUAAUUAUUCAAAGUUAGUAUAGUCAUUAUAAACGAGUGAUUUGCUUCUAUUUUGUCAGAGUUUGUUUAAAUAAUAAUCAGAUUAAUAUAUGCUUUAUAGAUAAACAAAUUCAAAUGUUUGGUUUACAUAUUAUUGCAUUUAAAUGAAUUUAUAAUUUCUUAAUUAUAUUAUUAAAUAGAGCCGUAGCGUUAGCAUAGGUAUAAUACCAGUAAUCACAAUAACUACUAUAUAAUUCAAUGCAGGUAGCACUUACCUGUUUUAUUUGUACGAGACUUACAUGUCAGUUUUAUGCUAGUUAUAUCUGUAACUACGUGACACUGAAUUAUACUUGCAUUGUAGUGCAAUUAUACCACAGUUACGCUUGUGCAAAUAUAACGUUUUAGAUAUUGUAGGAAAAAAUCACUUGAGUGGUGUACAGGCACUCCCAAAAACAAAAAGACCAUAUGUACGAUAGGACCAGAACACAAACGGUUUUGAUCUGUUGCUAAUGCUCCCUAGCUGGAUGAAAUAAUCAAUUGAGACACCGAAGAGAUGAAAAUUGUGUCAUUAUCUCACUCAGUCUCUGUAAUGAAGCAAACACAAUUCCAUGUGAUCUCUGAUGAAGCAUACUGUUCCUAACGUCUCCACAUGCCGAGAGUUUGAUCACCCCCCUUGAUCACCCAAACAAAUUUGUUUGUUACAAAUAUGAGUAUAUGCAACUAGUAAAGCAUUGCUAAGCAGUGUCGUAAUUGACUAGGGAUUCAUACGUAAUUAUUGGUUACAAAUAAACAGGAUAUUGAAUGAUCAAGGUAAGGCACAAUAAGUAGGUACUGAUUAUUGCGUGCAAUUUUGUUUGUCAAUAAAUCGUUUAACUUGCCUUGCUCAAGCUCCUGUGGAGUCAAAUCUUCAGUCAACUCCCCUCCCUCGCAGUCAGUAAGUGCGAACAAAAAUAAGCAAGAAGGAGAGACAACUGCAAAUCACCCAAAAAAAAACAUAAUAAACUAGCCAUAACACACAAGAGAAGAUCCAAAGGGAGGCAAACACAAAGCAAAUAAAGCCAUACGGUUUUUUGUGAAUGAAGUAGUCAUUUACUUUGCUAAACAUUGGUUUCACUAAAUUAAUUACCAAAGGUUUAGAAUCUAACCUAGGGUAUCAAAAUAACCUUUAAUAGAAUAGGUUAUAAGGCAUUAAACAGGUCAAGGAUAUGACAGGAGAUGGAUAGGAACCAAAAUAGUUGAGGGAUAGCGAAAGAAUGAUCAAAAGGGUGUAAAUUUAGGUUAGUUUACAAUUUUUUUUUAAAAAAACAUCACAUCGGAUAUACGGACACAUAUUUAAAGUAUUACAUGUAGUAUAAUUGCAAAAUAAAUUACAGAUUCCACCAAGAUACUGCGAGACGAAUCUUUUAAGCCUAAUUAAUCCGUCAUUAAUACAUGUAGGGUACUAUAGCACUUAUGACUAAUCACGUACUAAUUAGGCUCAAAAGAUUGGUUUGACGAUUUACCCUAUAACUGUGUAAUUACUUUCAAUAUUCAUUUAUAUAGAAUGCUCUGUUUAGGUUUCAAAAAAUUCAAUAUGAUAUUUUUAGGAAAACUUUUUGAAAACUAAACAGAGCCUUAUCCUUGUUCUCCCUUACCAGAGAGAGCAAAUAGGCAUAGACUGGUGUCAGGCUCAUGGACGGCGUUGGGCUUGGGGCGGAUCUUGGGCGUCGGAUUGGCACUAAUUGAGCCGAGAUGGGGGUGCACAAAGAGAGGGCCAGGCUGGGAGAGGGGUCGAGCCCUAAAUUUAUUUGUUUCAUUUCUCACAGAUUAUUCAAAUGAACUCAAAUACUCCGGUGUUUCGAAAUCCUAUGGUAAUUCAUAAGGCAUGCAUGAUACUCAAUAUCUAUUUUUUUUCUUAAUUUUUUAUGUAACUUGGGAAUCACGCGUCAAGGAGCCCCAGCUGUUAUACUUGCCCGGACGCCAAAUUAAUUUACCAGCUCUCUAGCUCAUCAGUAUCAAGCCAAGCCCGUGUGAAAUGUAUCUGCACUAUAUAUAUACUUUAGGAUAUCCAAACUGCAUAUCGUCUGAGCUCGAACGCAUUGCCAAGAAUAUGGACGAUCGAUCGGUGGCUUGAGAUUUAGUAUUUAGCUUUCCAUUCCACUAGGCAUGCAUCGAUGUGCUGCGUACGUAAUCAUUUCACGCCUCAACGACCUUGACUAUCAGUCAACCUUAUGGAAAUAAGAGGAAGGAUCGAUACACUAGGAUCUCGUUGCUACCAUAAGGCCUAGUAGGGUUGGCAGUACGUGGCCACCACCAUUGCUGUCGCGUUUAUGGAGGACGAGGGAAGCCAUCACUAUAGCACUAAGGAAGGAUGAGGAAGGCCGCAUUCGCCACCCCAAGUUAGUUAACUAAGCCUCCCUCAUUUUUCAUGCGCAGGCUUCCUAAACCGUUAAACGGUGUAUUUUUUGCAAAAAAUUUCUAUAAGAAAGUUGUUUUAAAAAAUCAUAUUAAUCUGUUUAUAUUUUUUUGAUAAUUAAUAAUUAAUUAAUCAUGUACUAAUAUAUUACUACGUUUUCCGUACGAGUGCAUAAGUUAACUUAUGCAUGCAUACCAAACGUGGCCAAAGUGUCACUGUCGUAAGUGGCGUACGUAGGAUAGAAAGUUAUGUCAUCUGACUUAUAUAGUUUUUAAAAUACUAUGAAAUUAAUUAAAAUAUUAUGAUCACAUUUUAUUAACGGAGAGUUUUUCUUUUUUUUCUCUUUAUCACAUCUCUUUACGUACAUACGUGUCUUAGAUUAUGGUGGUACUGGCCCCUGGAUAUGCCAAUGACCAUCCUCACCACCAAGGGAGGAUGGAGUGCACUGAUGUCGUUGCUGCUGAGGAUAUAUGGCUAAGGCUGCGUUCGGCACAACAUCUUCUUAACCCCAUAUUUCCUCUCUUUUUCGCGCGCACGCUUCCGAAUUGCUAAACGGUAUAUUUUUUUAAAAAAAAUUUAUAGGAAAGUUGCUUUAAAAAUCAUAUUAAUCUAUUUUAUAUUUUUAAGUAUUUAAUAAUUAAUUAAUCAUGUACUAAUCUAUCACUACGUUUUUCGUGCCAGGCUGACUUACCCCUCCUUCACCUCUGCCGAACACGGCCUAAGUGUGUUGCAAGUUGGGGCGGGAGGGGGACAAGAAGAAAGCAUUUGCGAUGUUAUUGUCGAGGGAGGAACUGACCGUCUCUUUUGAGGAGGAUGUGCGAGAGCAAUAUAAGACUUCACUGAUGCCCGACGGAGAAUGCGAUGGGGAUUGGGCUGGCUCAAUGAAUAUCUACACCAACUUACAUCUUAGCCCUUCUACUUCAUAAAUAUUACUAUUUCAGUAUUGGGCAUAAACCGCAUGGUACCGAAGAGUGUCGGCUAGUACCGACGGCUAUCAUCUUCUAGUCAACAAGUACACUAUCUGCUGCCAACGGUAUCGCAUGAUACCAUGAUAUCAUUAUGUAUCAUAUUUAUACGAAAAUUUAAUACCUACUCAGUACCAUCCGGUUUCAAGAUGAGCCAGGAUAUUGUACAAUAACAGCUUCUUUGCACAAUAUUUUCACGCACCCUCAAAUAGCCCAUAGUGCAUGAGACACUAAUGUCUGAUAUGCAAUAAUAUGGAGAAUAUGCUACGCACGUUGGGUAGUGGUGAAUUCAUGCCCUUCGUCCCGCAGAAUGAAAAUUAAUGGCGGUACGGUAGGCAUGUAUUUACUUGAAAUAAUUUUAUAUGUCAAUUAGGUGGUGAGUGCCCAGGCCUGUCUAGUGUCUACCACUACCAUUACGCACAUACCUCGCGUCCAUUUAACAUAUCUACUUCUCUAAGCGAACAGACUGACAAAUAGGAAAUGCGAUUUUUUUUAUCUUCAGCAUAUGACUUUGACAAUAAAUUUUUAGUACAGUGAAGAAAUAAAGUUUAAUUUUACCAUCUUUGUGAAAGUAUACUUAGGUAACAAAAUUGUGCGUUAAAAUUUUGGUAUUUCGAGAUAUAUUGUACAACUGGGUAUCAAAUUUUGGUAAUUUUUACCAUACUUGAGAAAGUAUAUCUGGAAGCUGAAAUUUAUGCUCAAAAUUUUGGUACCUCGAGAUGUAAAGUAACUGAAUGCAGCAAAUUUUACUCUAGAAUGAAACCUUCCAUUAUUUUCUCAAGGAUGAUAAAAUUGCUCCCAAAUUUUAUACUAAGAAAUGUGGCAACUCACGGUAGUUUCUCAAUUAUAGUAAAAUUGUCCAUGAAUAAAAUUCAAUAAAUUCUUUCUAUGGGAAAUCAUGAGGCCAUAACAGUUUUAUGAUUUUAAGUUAAGCGUUUUUUGAGGAUCAAUAUAUUAAAGUUUUGAAUAAAAAGGUCCAAAUCUCUGGGUGCAUAUAUAUAUAGAGAUAUAUAUCUGCGUGUAUAUAUGGCCAAACAACGAAAACACACAGAGAAACACGAGCAAGUUAAGGAGUGCAAAGCUAGUGAUGAUAGGCGUGAUGGGUCUUACUAGUUCAAAAACCAAACAACAAAAUUACAAAUAAAAAAUAAUUUAUUAAUAAACUUUUAUAUACAUGUUCUCAGCAAUUUAAAGCCAAGAUUAAAAAAUAAACUAGAAUAAAAAAACUCAAAAUCUACUUUACAAGGUAUGCAUGAUUAAGCCGGUAAUUAUGUGCUUCAAUAGUUUACUUAAUUAGCGAUGGCAUAUCAAUAGAAAGAGUUGAAUACAUUUUAUCGGAAAAAAUAAAAAUCAACAAUCAGCAAUUAGGAUUACAUAGAGGUGUGUUAGCUCAGAAGAGGUAAAGAUUCAAUAGCGAGUUUUACUCCCAUCCUCCUUUUGUAUCUCAAGAUAUCGGUACCUUGAGAUACUAAAUUGUUUCUCACUAUUGGAUCUAGCUAAGUAGGCUGUGCAUCGUUUGAUCCAACGAUAAAAACAAUUUAGUGUUGUGAGGUACCGAUAACUCGAGGUACAAAAGAAAGGAUGGGAGUAAAACCCUUCAAUAGCACCAGCUAUGGAAGUGCGCACUCCCUAGUCGUGACGGUCUUCUUCCUCGCUCGCUGGAUUAGCUUGACUCGGAGUAGUUCGGACAUCAUGGAGAAGGUAUUCAAAGUUUCUAUGAUGGCUGGUGGCUGCACUGAGCACACAGCAAAUUUGAUCCCAGGAGAUAAUGUUAGCAGCGCGCCGUACGUCCGCCUCCGCCUAUACAUGGCCAAAGAUGCAAGAGCGCGCUCGCACACUUGAGGUGCUAGUGAUCAAUCGAUCGAUCAUGGGUCUUCUACCUCCUCGGAUUACCACCUUGCUAACAAUGGCCAUCACGUCGUGUACUUUGUUAGCAGCCAUGGCGGCUGAUCACCGGAGCAACGACACCGACCUCGCGGCGCUGCUCGCGUUCAGAGCACAGGUGGCUGACCCGGACGGCAUCCUUGCUGAGGGAUGGAGCGAGAACGCGUCCUUCUGCCAGUGGGUCGGCGUGUCGUGCAGCCGGCGCCGGCGGCAGCGCGUNNNNNNNNNNNNNNNNNNNNNNNNNNNNNNNNNNNNNNNNNNNNNNNNNNNNNNNNNNNNNNNNNNNNNNNNNNNNNNNNNNNNNNNNNNNNNNNNNNNNNNNNNNNNNNNNNNNNNNNNNNNNNNNNNNNNNNNNNNNNNNNNNNNNNNNNNNNNNNNNNNNNNNNNNNNNNNNNNNNNNNNNNNNNNNNNNNNNNNNNNNNNNNNNNNNNNNNNNNNNNNNGGCGGCAGCGCGUCAGCGCCCUCGUCCUGCCGGACACGCCGCUCCAGGGCUCCAUCGCGCCCCACCUCGGUAACCUCUCGUUCCUCACCGUCCUCAACCUCACCAACGCUAGCCUGACGGGCUCCAUCCCAGCCCAGCUGGGAAGGCUGGCUCGCCUGAGACAUCUUGAUCUCGGCCUCAACGCCUUGUCAGGCUCCAUCCCAUCCACCAUUGGAAACCUCACGAGGCUCCAAUCUCUCAUCCUCGUUAGAAACGGCCUCUCGGGCCAGAUGCCAUCAGAGCUGCAGAAGCUGCAAGAUCUCAGGCAGAUCAACAUACAGGCGAAUUAUAUAAGUGGCACCGUACCAAACUAUUUGUUCAGCAACUCGAGCACUGUCUUGAGACUCAUAAACUUGGGCAACAACACCCUGUCAGGGCCCAUACCCAGCGGCGUGAUUGGCUCCAUGCCCAUGCUGCAGGCCUUUGUUCUUCAGUUCAACCAAUUCUCCGGCUCACUGCCCCCAGCCAUCUCCAACAUGUCCAGGCUUGAAAAGCUGUACGCCACUGGAAACAACCUCACUGGGCCUAUCCCAUUCCCAGCCGGAAACCAGAGCUCUGGCCUCCCCAUGAUUCAAAUAGUGUCCCUCUCCUUGAACAGAUUCACUGGCAGAAUUCCACCUGGACUUGCGGCGUGCAGGAAUCUCCAGCGACUUGAUCUGAGUGAAAAUCUUCUAGCAGAUCGUGUGCCGGAAUGGUUGGCGGGCCUGUCGCAGCUCAGCCUUCUCUCUCUCGGUGGAAAUAGUGGAAAUGACAUCGCCGGCUCUAUCCCAGCCGCGCUGAGCAAUCUCACCAAGCUCACCAUACUUGACCUGUCAUUCUGUAACCUAAAUGGAACGAUUCCAGUCGAGCUGGGAAAGAUGACACAGCUCACGUAUCUGAGCCUCUUGGCUAAUCAGCUAACUGGUCCUUUUCCUACUUUUGUCGGUAACCUGACUCGAUUAACUUUCCUGGGUUUAGAAAGGAACCUGCUCACCGGAGCUGUACCUGGAGGCGUUUUUGGGAACCUCAGAUGUCUUAACUUCCUUGGCAUUGGAGAAAAUCUUCUGAAUGGAAAACUUGACUUCUUUGCCGCUCUCUCCAACUGCAGCCAGCUCCGACGCCUGAUCAUAGAAAUGAAUUCUUUCUCAGGGACCAUUCCUGAAGGUUUACUUGCAAACCUCUCUCCCAAUUUAGAGUCUUUGUAUGCAGGCAGUAACAACUUGACUGGCAGUAUUCCGGCCACCAUAUCCAAUCUAAGUAGCCUGAGUACACUAAUCCUUCAUGACAAUCAAAUAAGCGGCACAAUUCCUGCUUCUAUUGUGUCAAUGGAAAAUCUAGAGUUAUUGGACCUCUCCAUAAAUAGUAUGUUUGGAUCAAUCCCAACUCAAAUUGGUACCUUUAAAAGUAUUGAGGUAUUAUAUAUCAACCACAACCAAUUUACUGGUUCCAUUCCUAUGGGUAUCAGCAACCUUAGCACUUUGCAAUACUUAUCGUUGUCAUAUAAUUGCUUAUCAUCAGGUAUACCCGCAAGCCUAGCUAAUCUUACUAAUCUUCUCCAACUAAAUUUAUCUCAUAAUAACUUAACUGGUACAUUGCCUUCUAAUCUCAACCCAAUGAAGGCAAUCGAUAUGUUAGACAUCUCUGCAAACAAUUUGGUUGGUAGCCUCCCAACUUCGUUUGGCCAGCUCCAACUGAUAAGCUACCUGAAUCUAUCUCAGAAUAUGUUGACCGAUUCCAUUCCAAACUCAUUCAAAGGUCUAGUUAAUUUAGAAACAUUGGAUCUGUCCUGUAACAAUCUUUCUGGUGGAAUACCAAAGUACUUUGCCAACUUAAGCUAUCUUACAUCUUUGAACCUCUCCUUUAAUAAUCUACAAGGUCAGAUACCAAGUGGAGGUGUUUUUUCAAACAUCACUCUGCAGUCCUUGAUGGGAAAUGCUGGACUGUGUGGUGCUCCACGUCUUGGAUUUUCGCCAUGUCCGGGAAGCUCUUAUUCAGCUAACAGAAAACACUUUCUGAAGUUUGUGCUCCCUGCUAUCAUUGUUGCAUUUGGUGCCACUGUUGUGCUCUUAUACAUAGCCAUUGGAAAGAAGAUGAAAAGGCCAGAUCUUACUGCUGCUUUUGACAUAGCUGAUGUGAUUAGUCAUCGGUUAGUAUCGUACCAAGAAAUCGUCCGCGCAACCGAAAAUUUCAACGAGGACAACCUACUUGGAGUUGGUAGUUUUGGCAAGGUUUUUAAGGGUCGACUGGAUGAAGGUUUGGUGGUUGCAAUCAAAGUCCUCAACACGAAUGUUGAAAGAGCUAUGAGGACAUUCGACGCAGAGUGCCAUGUCUUGCGGAUGGCCAGGCAUCGCAACUUGAUAAAGAUAUUAAACACGUGUUCCAACCUGGAUUUCAGAGCACUGCUACUUCAGUUCAUGCCUAAUGGUAGCUUGGAGUCAUACUUGCACAGUGAGAGCAGGCCUUGUGUGGGAUCAUUCCUCGAACGGAUGAAUGUUAUGCUAGAUGUGUCAAUGGCUAUGGAAUAUCUGCACCAUGAGCACUGCGAGGUUGUCCUCCACUGCGAUUUGAAACCUAGCAAUGUGCUAUUUGAUGAAGACAUGACUGCACACGUAGCAGACUUUGGCAUAGCAAAGAUGCUGUUAGGGGAGGACAAUUCAGCGGUUUCAGCAAGCAUGCCAGGGACAAUUGGGUACAUGGCGCCAGGUACAUGCACUCAUUAGUCUGUUUUGUUUUCCAUGAAACAGAUGGUUUAUUCUAAUCUUGAACAAACACAUUCUGUUGACUUACUAAAUUUCUGUCACAGAGUACGCGUUCAUGGGAAAGGCGUCACGGAAGAGCGACGUGUUCAGCUUCGGAAUCAUGUUGCUCGAGGUCUUUACUGGGAAGAGGCCUACAGAUCCCGUGUUCAUUGGUGGACUGACCCUAUGGCUGUGGGUUUCUCGAUCUUUUCCAGAGAAUCUUGUUGAUGUUGCAGAUGAUCACAUGCUGCAAGAUGAAGAAACGCGUCUUUGUUUCGAUCAUCAGAACACUUCCAUGGGAUCUUGCUCGACUAGCAGGAGCAACAGCUUCCUUGCGUCGAUAUUUGAGCUGGGCCUGCUGUGUUCGAGUGAGUCACCUGAGCAGAGGAUGGCAAUGAACGAUGUCGUUGCAAAGCUGAAAGGGAUCAAGAAGGAUUACUCUGCAUCUAUGCUGGCAAUGCAAAGGCAUCGACAGUAAUAGAUCAACCAGUUUGUGAUUUGUAUGCCAGUUUAGUUUGGGUUUCCAUAGUUCUUCAAAGCAAAACCUGGCAUCAUUUAUUUACCCCAUCAUAUCAGGCAUGACCGCAUGAUACAGUCUAUAUAUUGAAAAUCGCAGAGUUGUAGCAUGCACUCUGUUUUCAGAUAAUGUUUGUAUUUUCAUUGAUGGACAUUGAAACUUUGAAAGUAAUCCGAGUUGGCGAUCAACAGCAUCUAUCCAUGCAUGCAUGGUUUCAUCUGUUUGACAAGAUUUCUCGGUGAAUUUUUAGUACAAGUAGCGAGACCAACACACGAUUCUGUUUCUUGGUUUGUACUAACUUCACUGGUCAACCAAACAUAUGCUGACAUGCAUGAUGCUGGUCUAAGCAAUGACUGGUUGAGAUCACUCCUUGAAAAUGUAGUUUGUGUUGAUUAAAUCUGUUACAACUUGAUUUCUCCAUGAUUCAGUGCAUUUCAUCAUUGUGAGCUUAAUGAAAGAUGAAAGAUUUUCUAACUUUUGUUAAAUCUAUUCUAAUAAUAAGCUAUGGAAUUUUCCCCGUACAACAUGUUGUACCUAGUGUUAGAUUGAUCUCCAGCCCUUUAGCCUAGGAGCCUUGAUCGCGCCCUGAUCGGGGGCGUCCAGCCCAAUUGGCUGGUGGGCCCCUGUCACAUGCGCUAUAUAAACACAGAGGGUGGAGGCCGGCUCGGCAUGGAAAACCAAGUUCGUCGCCACCGCAACUCCACCCUAACCGAUCUAGGGCGAGCGCAACCAGUGACGGCAAUCGCCACCGCCGCGCCUCGACCUCGCCGGGACCACUAUGACCGAGACCUCACUGGGGCUUCACUGACAACCGCCGUCGCUAUCAGCACCAAGCCCAAAUCGACGACAAUGGCCGGUUCCUCCUCCUCGGCAAGUGGCUCCACUGGUCUGUGCCUAACCUUAAUCCGUUUUACUACCCGUGUAAAUGUUGUUCUACCAUGCCAAUAGAAUACCCGAUCAAUGCUACAACCCUAGAUGAUCCAAAUAGAAACCUAACAAUGGUAUGAGAGCCUUGCCUAGGGUUUAGAUUGUUUUUGGGAUUGAGAAAUCAUAGAGAAAACGAGAGGGGAUUCGAUCUACAAAAGAAAAUUAAAAGCAAAUAGAAAGAAAAGAGACAGAUGGAAAGGGUAAACCCUAACCUCCGUCACUGCCACCGGGACGUCGUUGACGUCGGGCGGUUUUCCCUCCGCCUUCACCGCCGUGACCACGCUCGGGGUGGCCGACGUCGCCCGCCGCGGGGGCGUCGCCGCAUCGGGUCGAGGAGGAACAGAAAAGGGGCCGGCCGCGCUGGGGUCCAGCGCCGCCGUGAGGCCGUUCAACUGCAGCACACACACCCGUAGGCCGACGCGCGCACCGACAAGAAGCCGCAUGGGCGCACCGCCACCUUCAUCGCCGCCUUCUCGCUCUCUCUCGCAUACGGUGGGGGAAGAUGAGAGAUGGUGGGUGAAGGGGGAGAAGAGAAAAGAAUGGCGCAAGCGGCCGGUGCGAGGUCGCCGGGGAAUCACCGGCGAUGGCGCCGCACGCGAGAGAGGUGUAUGAACUAGUGUUAGGGUUGGUCGGGCGGCGGCGGCUGGGUUGGUGGUUUUGUUUCCCCGAUCUGGCUGGCCGGGCGUUC
rnacentral:lncRNA from 1 species